ACUUAAUUAGUUUAAAAAGAAAAUUAUAAAUUGUGGAUUUAUAGAUGAUUACUUCAUUAAGUA
rnacentral:tRNA from 1 species